rnacentral:rRNA from 1 species
GACGAACGCUGGCGGCGUGCUUAACACAUGCAAGUCGAACGGAAAGGCCCUGCUUUUGUGGGGUGCUCGAGUGGCGAACGGGUGAGUAACACGUGAGUAACCUGCCCUUGACUUUGGGAUAACUUCAGGAAACUGGGGCUAAUACCGGAUAGGAGCUCCUGCUGCAUGGUGGGGGUUGGAAAGUUUCGGCGGUUGGGGAUGGACUCGCGGCUUAUCAGCUUGUUGGUGGGGUAGUGGCUUACCAAGGCUUUGACGGGUAGCCGGCCUGAGAGGGUGACCGGCCACAUUGGGACUGAGAUACGGCCCAGACUCCUACGGGAGGCAGCAGUGGGGAAUAUUGCACAAUGGGCGGAAGCCUGAUGCAGCAACGCCGCGUGCGGGAUGACGGCCUUCGGGUUGUAAACCGCUUCCGCCUGUGACGAAGCGUGAGUGACGGUAAUGGGUAAAGAAGCACCGGCUAACUACGUGCCAGCAGCCGCGGUGAUACGUAGGGUGCGAGCGUUGUCCGGAUUUAUUGGGCGUAAAGGGCUCGUAGGUGGUUGAUCGCGUCGGAAGUGUAAUCUUGGGGCUUAACCCUGAGCGUGCUUUCGAUACGGGUUGACUUGAGGAAGGUAGGGGAGAAUGGAAUUCCUGGUGGAGCGGUGGAAUGCGCCGAUAUCAGGAGGAACACCAGUGGCGAAGGCGGUUCUCUGGGCCUUUCCUGACGCUGAGGAGCGAAAGCGUGGGGAGCGAACAGGCUUAGAUACCCUGGUAGUCCACGCUGUAAACGGUGGGUACUAGGUGUGGGGUCCAUUCCACGGGUUCCGUGCCGUAGCUAACGCUUUAAGUACCCCGCCUGGGGAGUACGGCCGCAAGGCUAAAACUCAAAGGAAUUGACGGGGCCCCGCACAAGCGGCGGAGCAUGCGGAUUAAUUCGAUGCAACGCGUAGAACCUUACCUGGGUUUGACAUGGAUCGGGAGUGCUCAGAGAUGGGUGUGCCUCUUUUGGGGUCGGUUCACAGGUGGUGCAUGGCUGUCGUCAGCUCGUGUCGUGAGAUGUUGGGUUAAGUCCCGCAACGAGCGCAACCCUUGUUCACUGUUGCCAGCACGUUAUGGUGGGGACUCAGUGGAGACCGCCGGGGUCAACUCGGAGGAAGGUGGGGAUGACGUCAAGUCAUCAUGCCCCUUAUGUCCAGGGCUUCACGCAUGCUACAAUGGCUGGUACAGAGAGUGGCGAGCCUGUGAGGGUGAGCGAAUCUCGGAAAGCCGGUCUCAGUUCGGAUUGGGGUCUGCAACUCGACCUCAUGAAGUCGGAGUCGCUAGUAAUCGCAGAUCAGCAACGCUGCGGUGAAUACGUUCCCGGGGCU